AAGAGAGUGGAACUGGCCAUGUAUACAUGUAUAUAUAUAUAUAUAGGCUGAAAAUCUGCUUGGUUGUUGGGAUUUGGUCAAGAUUUUGAUCAAGGACAGCCAACUCAUCCUUGGCUCUUUGUUAACUACUUUUGACAUUUUGUAUGUUGUAGAAAAAAAAAGUUGAGCUGGCUGAAUUGGGCCCAAAGGCUGGUUUCAACAUGGGCCGAGGUUGAAGAAGGGUGGGCAGAAAAAGAUAUUUUAGCUUGCUAAGAAGAGGCCCAAAAUCUAUGUGCACACUUUUGUAUGACCGUUCUAUGUUCUUAAUCCAUUAUUUAUUUUGGGCUUAAGUUCCCUUGUACUAAUGAAAUUCGAAAAUUUCUCUU